rnacentral:rRNA from 1 species
UACGGAGGGGGCUAGCGUUGUUCGGAAUUACUGGGCGUAAAGCGCGCGUAGGCGGCUUUUUAAGUGAGGCGUGAAAGCCCUGGGCUUAACCCAGGAGGUGCGUUUCAUACUGGAAAGCUUGAGUACGAGAGAGGAAAGUGGAAUUCCUAGUGUAGAGGUGAAAUUCGUAGAUAUUAGGAAGAACACCAGUGGCGAAGGCGACUUUCUGGCUCGUAACUGACGCUGAGGCGCGAAAGCGUGGGGAGCAAACAGG